rnacentral:tRNA from 2 species
GGGCCCAUAGCUCAAGGGUUAGAGCCGCCGGCUCAUAACCGGAAGGUUCCUGGUUCAAAUCCAGGUGGGCCCACCA